rnacentral:lncRNA from 1 species
AAUCUGAGUUCACACUUUCCUUCUCUGACCUAAAUGUGAAGUCAGGAAACACAUGUGCCCUACUUCCAUCCUGAGCUCAGUCCCCAAUCUCCCACCAGCCUCAGGCCCCUCCACUUCUCAGAUCAGGUCCCAGACCUGCCCAUGAAAAUGGGGAGCAGGCUGUAACAGAUUUGUCCACAUGUUCCUACCACCUGUCCCAACCCAGGGUACCCACCCAGAGACAUCUGGUAUCAUUUAACAAACACAUUGAAGGACAACUGGUCUUCAGAGCUGAAGAGAGCUCCUAGGGGGAGAAGCUGGGACAACAGUGAAAUAAGUAGCAGCAGCAACGACAGAAGUGAAUGGUGACAAAGACUGCUGUGAUGAGCAGGUAGCCUAUCAGGGUGAGCUCCACAGCCGAGCGAGUCUCAGGAUCUGAGAACGAGGCUGGGUAGUGCCCAUGAGAUGUCACACCCAGCCGGAAGCCAGCAACUAGCACACCCUGCCUCCAGCAAUAGUAGAUGCCCCGGUCAUCCAGCUGGGUGAAGCGGAUGUGGAGCUGGUUGCCGUGGUCAAUGAACACCCUCAUGGACCUGUUGACACCCUUCAGGUACUGUGUGCGGUAGAGGUGCUGGCGGUCUUUGUCCCAGGCCACUGCAUGCUCUGGCCGGGCCCCAGGACAGGAGAUGAUGAGUCCAUGGCCCAGUCUCUGCUGGUGGAACUGAAUGGGCACCUGGGGCACCCAGGGCCGGCUGCCCACUUUGGACACAUAGUUAAUGAUGGCCAGCACGCCCUCCCGGAUGGUCUUUGUCUUCUCACAGGGUACUAAGCAGCUCCGAACCAGCACCUCAGGCGUGUGGUCCCUGGCCUUGGUCCGCAGCUUCCUUGGCACAGCCCUUGAGCCACAAGACACCACAUCGGGCACGGCCUUGAGAACACUGGCGCUCACCCAAG